rnacentral:rRNA from 1 species
GAUCCUGCUCAGGACGAACGCUGGCGGCGCGCCUAACACAUGCAAGUCGAACGAGAGAGAAGGAGCUUGCUUCUUCGAUCGAGUGGCGAACGGGUGAGUAACGCGUGAGGAACCUGCCUCAAAGAGGGGGACAACAGUUGGAAACGACUGCUAAUACCGCAUAAGCCCACGGGUCGGCAUCGACCUGAGGGAAAAGGAGCAAUCCGCUUUGAGAUGGCCUCGCGUCCGAUUAGCUAGUUGGUG